CCCUUAGAUGUCCUGGGCCGCACGCGCGCUACAAUGACUCACUCAGAAAGUUUUUCCUGAUCCGGAAGGAUUCGGGUAAUCUUCAUAGCAUGAGUCGUGUUAGGGAUCGAUCUUUGCAAUUAUAGAUCUUGAACGAGGAAUGCCUAGUAAGUGCAGCUCAUCAGGCUGUACUGAUUACGUCCCUGCCCUUUGUACACACCGCCCGUCGCCCCUACCGAUUGAGUGGUCCGGUGAACCUUCUGGAUUAAGCAGCAAUGCUUGAGAAGUUAGGUAAACCUUAUCACUUAGAGGAAGGAGAAGUCGUAACA
rnacentral:rRNA from 1 species